rnacentral:rRNA from 1 species
GACGAACGCUGGCGGCGUGACUAAUACAUGCAAGUCGAACGCAGUGGGGACGGGUGAGUAACACGUGGGUAACCUCCCAUCAGAGGGGAUAACACUUGGAAACAGGUGAUAAACCGAUACUGAUGGAUGGACCCGCGGUGCAUUAGCUUGUUGGUGAGGUAACGGCUCACCAAGGCCAAGAUGCAUAGCCGACCUGAGAGGUUGACCGUCCACACUGGGACUGAGACACGGCCCAGAUUCCUACGGGAGGCAGCAGUAGGGAAUCUUCGGCAAUUGACGAAAUCCUGACCGAGCCACACCGCUAUAGGGAAGAAGGUUUUCGGAUCUGAAACUUCUGUUGUUGUAGAAGCGGUAUCUAACCAGUAGGCCACUGCUAACUACGUGCCAGCAGCCGCGGUAAUUC